UGCAGAUGUUAGCACAGUGGUUAGAGCUGCUGCCUUUGGAGCUGCAGGUUGCAGGUUUAAGUCUCACCUCCAGCUGUAG
rnacentral:tRNA from 1 species